GGGGGAUAUUGCACAAUGGAGGAAACUCUGAUGCAGCAACGCCGCGUGAGGGAAGAAGGUCUUCGGAUUGUAAACCUUUGUCCUUGGUGACGAUAAUGACGGUAGCCAAGGAGGAAGCUCCGGCUAACUACGUGCCAGCAGCCGCGGUAAUACGUAGGGAGCGAGCGUUGUCCGGAUUUACUGGGUGUAAAGGGUGCGUAGGCGGCUCUGCAAGUCAGGUGUGAAAACUAUGGGCUUAACCCAUAGACUGCGUUUGAAACUGUGGGGCUUGAGUGAAGUAGAGGCAGGCGGAAUUCCCGGUGUAGCGGUGAAAUGCGUAGAGAUCGGGAGGAACACCAGUGGCGAAGGCGGCCUGCUGGGCUUUAACUGACGCUGAGGCACGAAAGCAUGGGUAGCAAAC
rnacentral:rRNA from 1 species